GGGGAACUGCUGCUGCCUGCCUGGAGCACGUCCAGCUCUCCUUCCUCACUGCUGUUGGCAUCUGCAGGGCUGUUUUUUUCACAUCUUCUCAUCCAUCUCCCUGCUGCUGCUGUGCAGCAGAUUUUUUCCCUCUUAUAUAUGCUCUCACAGAGAUGCAACUUGGUUCAUGUGUAGCUCAGCCUCAGUUAGCUGCUUCCUAGCCUGGAGGAAUAGAGAAAUGGUUCCAGAAGAGUGAUACCUUGGUAGGACCAUAGUGGAUGUGUCAUCAGGAGAAAAAGCAGGGAGAGAAUGAAGGACAUAUCAGAAAUGUGAAAUCUCCAAUCUGAGGGAAAGAUUCAUGAUGAUGAUCUGGGAGCUGCUAAAUCACCCACCUGCUUCCCCAGCUGACCAACAAAGAGGAAGAAUAUCAUACAGAUUCACAAGGCUGAACAGAAAACACGGAAAGAAGGAAAUCCUUUCAUGUUGAUCAUCAAGACAGUUGUGCAUGGAAAAGAUUUACUCCAGUGGCUUUAUUAAGACCUGAUUCAUUAUGGCCCCUCACUACAAG
rnacentral:lncRNA from 1 species